CCGUGACGCAGUAACGCCGCGUGGAGGAUGAAGGCCUUCGGGUUGUAAACUCCUGUCAGAAGGAACGACGGAGAAGGGGUGAAUAAUCCUUUCUUCCAGACGGUACCUUCAAAGGAAGCCCCGGCUAAUUCCGUGCCAGCAGCCGCGGUAAUACGGAAGGGGCAAGCGUUGUUCGGAAUUAUUGGGCGUAAAGGGCGCGUAGGUGGUCUUGUGUGUCUGCCGUGAAAGCACGCGGCUUAACCGCGUUCCGUCGGUAGAAACUGCAGGACUAGAGGCUGGGAGGGGCUGGUGGAAUUCCCUGUGUAGCGGUGAAAUGCGUAGAGAUGGGGGAGAACACUCGUGGUGAAGGCGGCCAGCUGGACCAGUUCUGACACUGAGGCGCGAUAGCGUGGGGAGCAAACAGGAUUAGAUACCCUGGUAGUCCACGCUGUAAACGAUGGGCACUAGGUGCCGGCGGUCUUGAUCCCGUCGGUGCCGGCGCUAACGCAGUAAGUGCCCCGCCUGGGGAGUACGGUCGCAAGGCUG
rnacentral:rRNA from 1 species